rnacentral:rRNA from 1 species
AGGAUGAACGCUGGCGGCGUGCUUAACACAUGCAAGUCGAACGAGAAAGUGGGAGCAAUCCCAUGAGUAAAGUGGCGCACGGGUGAGUAACACGUGACUAACCUACCCUUGAGUGGGGGAUAACCUAGGGAAACCUGGGCUAAUACCGCAUAAUACCUACGGGUCAAAGGAGCAAUUCGCUUUAGGAGGGGGUCGCGGCAGAUUAGUUAGUUGGCGGGGUAAUGGCCCACCAAGACAGUGAUCUGUA